rnacentral:rRNA from 1 species
UACGUAGGGUGCAAGCGUUGUCCGGAAUUAUUGGGUGUAAAGAGCUCGUAGGCGGUCUGUCGCGUCGGCUGUGAAAACCCGGAGCUCAACUCCGGGCCUGCAGUCGAUACGGGCAAACUGGAGUGUUGCAGGGGAGACUGGAAUUCCUGGUGUAGCGGUGAAAUGCGUAGAUAUCCGGAGGAACACCGGUGGCGAAGGCGGCUUCCUGGACCGACACUGACGCUGAGGCGCGAAAGCUAGGGGAGCAAACGGG